rnacentral:rRNA from 1 species
UACGUAGGGUGCAAGCGUUGUCCGGAAUUAUUGGGCGUAAAGAGCUCGUAGGCGGUUUGUCGCGUCUGCUGUGAAAACUCGGGGCUUAACCCCGGGCCUGCAGUGGGUACGGGCAGACUAGAGUGCGGUAGGGGAGAUUGGAAUUCCUGGUGUAGCGGUGGAAUGCGCAGAUAUCAGGAGGAACACCGAUGGCGAAGGCAGAUCUCUGGGCCGUAACUGACGCUGAGGAGCGAAAGCAUGGGGAGCGAACAGG